GCAGAUUUCCUUAUCAACUCGGGGUCUUCGUCUUCGGUUCCAAUUUCCAGUGCAACCAAGGUAAAUACUAUCUUGUGGAUUCAGGUUAUCCAAAUAGAAAGGGGUACCUUGCACCUUAUAAGGGUCAGAAGUAUCACAUUUCAGAAUGGCAAAAUGCGAGGCAACCUAUUGGGAGCAAAGAAGUAUUCAACUAUGCACACUCGUCGCUACGCAAUGUUAUAGAGCGAUCUUUUGGUGUGCUUAAAAUGAAGUGGAGAAUUCUGUUAAGUCUCCCUUCAUUUUCGCUUAAGAAACAAUCCAAGAUAACUAUUGCAUGUAUGACAUUGCAUAACUUCAUUAGAGACAGUGCUCUACACGAUAGAGACUUUGAUGAACUAGGACCUAAUAGCCUUGGUCAUGAUGUAUCUGUAGGUGAGAGUAGUAGUAGCACAUCUGAUGAGUUAGACAUGAGUGCAUUUCGAGAUGGAAUUGCUAAUGCAUUAGUGUCGUAGUUAAAUAUGUAAAUGUAACGGUAGUUAUGUUGUAAUGAACUCCACUAAUUAUAUGUAAUGACCUUUUGUUGGUUCGGUGUUAA